UGGAGAGUUUGAUCCUGGCUCAGGACGAACGCUGGCGGCAUGCCUAAUACAUGCAAGUCGAGCGGACUUGAAGAGAAGCUUGCUUCUCUGAUGGUUAGCGGCGGACGGGUGAGUAACACGUAGGCAACCUGCCCUCAAGCUUGGGACAACUACCGGAAACGGUAGCUAAUACCGAAUACUUGUUUUCUUCGCCUGAAGGGAACUGGAAAGACGGAGCAAUCUGUCACUUGGGGAUGGGCCUGCGGCGCAUUAGCUAGUUGGUGAGGUAACGGCUCACCAAGGCGACGAUGCGUAGCCGACCUGAGAGGGUGAUCGGCCACACUGGGACUGAGACACGGCCCAGACUCCUACGGGAGGCAGCAGUAGGGAAUCUUCCGCAAUGGGCGAAAGCCUGACGGAGCAAUGCCGCGUGAGUGAUGAAGGUUUUCGGAUCGUAAAGCUCUGUUGCCAGGGAAGAACGCUUGGGAGAGUAACUGCUCUCAAGGUGACGGUACCUGAGAAGAAAGCCCCGGCUAACUACGUGCCAGCAGCCGCGGUA
rnacentral:rRNA from 5 species